CCUGUUUUCAUGUAGCUUUGCUUUUAGUUUUCCUGAUUGCUUUCUCCCUCCUGAUGUGUGUCACCUGUGUCUCGUUGUCAUGUCUAUUUAGUCCUUGUCUUCCCAGUCACCUUUGUCUGUGCGUCUGCGUUUUUCCACCCAGGUCAAGCCAGGAUCUAUUGUUAGUUUUGCCUUGCCCUGUUUUUGUCAGGAGUUAAGCCACAGAUAUUCACAGAUCCUAAGACACAGGAAAAACGGAGAACAGUGUUCACGAGCAUUUGAAAACGCACAACAUGCAGACAUAUGUCUGCCAUGAGCCAGAUGCAGUGGGAAUCAUCAUUGAGGGAAUCCCAGUUCUUACUGAUCUUGGCGAUCUGGCCAGGGCAUGUUGCCUGCUUCUGGGGAUGAAAUAUACUCUGAACCUGCACUAUCCACCCCAGCUCUGCAAAACAUUUGAGUUAAAUUGAGAACAACAUGGCACCUUCACAUCAACAGAUGGAACAGCAGAUCCCACUCAUGGCUCUUGGAAAUGGAUCAUCCUUUCAUGCGGUCUGGUACUUCUGUUCUUCAUUCCUCUCACUGUUUGGUUAGUUCGUCACUACAGGUACCAGAUGUUUUGCACUCGUAGUUGCUGGCCAGUUUCCAAAGAAGCCCUGCCGGCCAUGGAGCUUCCUGCAACCAAGCAGGAUGCAACGGAAGUGCAGUGGGAUUUAUCCUGGAUGGAAAUGUCAAAUCUGCUGGAUAAGCAGUUAUAUCCUGGCACUUAAAGGGUAACUCUUACAUGCAGUAUACAGGAACCACUAAGUGGAGUGCCAUAUGAGAUGCUUCAGAGUGCUGCUAUGGAUGUAUGAACAAUUUGUAGCAAAUGAAGAUCACAGAAAGGCCCCAGUGUGUGCCACAAGGGUCUGUUACUGGUAAAUUUAUCUAAACUACCUGCCUAUGAUUUGUAUUUGUAUUUUCUCUGUUCACUGAUACAAGACUUUUGUACACUAAUACAAAAUGCUAAUACAGAGAUGAUGUAAACUUUGAAAUGGUUAGCUGAGCAAACUUACUAAUAAUAUUAAAAAGACAAGCUUUGUAAUUUACAGAAAAUACUCCAAAGACUGAACAAAUAUUACAUAUUUAUAAAUAGUCUCUUUUAUGAGUUAUAAUAUUAUAUACUGUAUAUUAACUGUUGUUAAUUGUUAGGGGUGCUACUAACUCCUUAACAAGAUACUUUAAAUUCAGAAAAAUCAUAUCACUGACAUAAUUUCAAGUAACUAUGACUGUCAAGUGUUUAGGAAAUAUAAUAAAUAAUGUCAAUAUAUUAAGCAUAUGUUUUUAUGUAUUGGUUCUACCUAAUAUCCAUCCUGCUAUUUUCCAAAAUGUUUUAAAUGUUUCAAAUCAGACCUUACCUCAGUUUGUCAAAGAAUUCAAAUGCACUUAAAUAUAGAUGUCACACUCUCUUGAGUCUUCAAGACUGAGCUGAAAAAAAAUCGAAUUGAUGCCAAGUAGUGUAUUAUUUGUACAGCGUAUUAUUUAUUUGUUAUUGCUAUUUUAGGCUCUGGAUUUAAAUGAUGCCAUUUCUUAUAGAGACCCAUAACCAUUAUCUGUCAGGAUAGAUGACAUGGGGAACUACAUGACUCACCAUUAAAAAAAAUAUACAUUUUGGUAAUUUACAUGAAGUACAUCACUAUAAAAAUAAAUAUACACGCAUAUCAUAGGCAUUAUAUCUUUGUUAUUAUUUGAGUCAACUGAAAGCACCACCAAGCAUUUUAUUUACAGCUUUCCUAGCUUUUAUUGUCUUGGGCUCUGACAAUUUCAUUCAAUCAUUUGUCUCACUUUUUUUUGUAAGCAGCAGAUUUGAAAUAAAAUCAAAUGUACUCA